rnacentral:lncRNA from 1 species
AGAAAGAUAUGGUUCUCAAGGCCUGGAGAGGCAAACCAUGUCCAGAAAAGGUCCCUGAUGAUAGAACUCCCUGAGUAUUCUUGCAGAAAUGAAUAUCCACCAGGCUUCUUUUUUGUUGUUUGUUGUUGUUGUUGUUGUUGUUGUUGUUGUUGUUGUUGAGAUGGAGUCUGUCUCUGUCGCCCAGGCUGGCGUGCAAUGGCGCGAUCUUGGCUCAAUGCAAGCUCCGCCUCCCAGGUUCACGCUAUUCUCCUGCCUCAGCCUCCCAACUACUCAGGAGGCUGAAGCAGGAGAAUUGCUUGAACCCAGGAGGCGGCGGUUGCAGUGAGCCAAGGUGGCGCCACCGCUCUCCAGCCUGGCAACAGAGCGUGACUCCGUCUCAAAAAAAGAAAAAUAAAAAAUUUCAGGGAUAUUUAUGUAGUGACCUGUUAUUUAAUUUUUCAAUAAUAUAAAUCUGUUUCAAGAAAAAGAAAUUUUAAACAAACUCUUAUGAUUUUCUUUCUCCUGAAUAUUAUUCCAGAACUUAAAAAAAAGAAGAAACAAAACAGAGUAAGUACAUUAGCUUUAUUCAACAUACCAUCUUGUCUAGUAGUAAACUACUAAAAACAGUCUCCUGAGUGGAAAAAAUAUAAAUUUUUGUCUAUUUAACAAGUAAUAGCAUCAGUGCUGCCCUGCGUGUUCUCAUUAUUUUCUCCAAAUAAAUUGGCUCAAUAUGCUGCUAAGUAUUACCAUUUAUAUUUAUUUUGUAGUUCUAUAUCUUGUCUUUCCUGUUUCAUCUGUAAACAGGCAAUUAUUGCCUCAGUGUGUAUUCUGAUACAUUUUCUCUCUAAAUCUAUUGUCCAACAUCUUGCAUAUAAAAUCUGGCUUUUCUCUCAUAUAUCAAAAUCGCAGGUCACAUAGUCUCAGUGCCAAGAGUUACAAGAACAACUGCUUUAUUUCACUCCCAUCUCUGUGAAUACAAAACUCCAAUCUCUAAAGUAUAAAGUAUUUUGUAUCUAUUUAUAACACUAUGUUCCUGGCUUAUUGAUAUAUUAUUUCAUUAUUAGCUCUUAAAAACCUAACAAGGUGCUGAAUAAUUUUGUGAAAUAUUCCAUGGAGAACUACCAUUAAAAUAGUGAUUAUUUUAA